UUUUUUUUUACGCAAAAUUUUAACAAAAUAUUGUAUUAAUCUAAGAAGGUUUGUACUUUUUUAAUUAUUUAUUUUGAUAAUUGGACCCGAAUAAAUGCAUCUUUGGCUUUCAUUAUUCCUAGUUUUAUCCUCUUAAAUUAAUAAAUUCAGACAUGAAAAUUAAAUGCUCUAUAUAUGGGAAGAGAUAUCUCAUAAUUUAUCAGGCAAUUAUUAAGAAUUACAGGUUUCAAAAUUUGAAUAAUUAAAAUUUUAUGACUUAAUAUUUGGUGAAGUAUUGAAAUCUUUGCUAAUUGAACUUACAGAAAAACGUAGAAAAAGCUUGCACUUCUAAGAAAUAAAACAUCUGAAGAAAUUCAACAGAGAUGGAAUUUAAAUGUGCCAGGUAUAUUUGAUUAUUUACUAAAAUUUCCAACCUACUAUUACAUUUAUAAUUUGUGUUAUAUGUCUAUGUUAUUUGUGCUGUUAUUGCUUGUUGAAAACUUUGCUGCCAUAUUCAGUAGUUUAUACAUGUUUAGGUCU
rnacentral:lncRNA from 1 species